rnacentral:rRNA from 1 species
UACGGGGGGGGCAAGCGUUGUUCGGAAUUACUGGGCGUAAAGGGCUUGUAGGCGGCCAACUAAGUCCGACGUGAAAUCUCCGGGCUUAACCCGGAAACUGCCAUUGAUACUAUUUGUCUUGAAUACUUUGGAGGUAAGCGGAAUAUGUCAUGUAGCGGUGAAAUGCUUAGAUAUGACAUAGAACACCAAUUGCGCAGGCAGCUUACUACACAGUAAUUGACACUGAGGCACGAAAGCGUGGGGAGCAAACAGG